rnacentral:tmRNA from 1 species
GGGGUUGACUGGUUUUGACAGCGUGUAGAAGUGGUGUGUAAGCGUGCAGAGCUUUGAGGUAUAUGCUCUUUAAUAUCAGACCUUCAGCAAUUUAAAUGGCGAAAACAACUACGCUCUUGCUGCUUGAUUGAAGUACAGUAGAUCAGCUUAAUCGCCGCAACAGUUGCAGCGACAAGACAUCGCCCGAUUGUCCUUUUUCCGAGACUAAUCGAUACGGCGGUGCAGGAAUAUCGGAAAUAGGACUCCCAAAGCCUCGAAGGAGCCCGAAGUUUUAGAGGAUAAGGCCAUGGUUGGUGGUUUCAGGCCUGCCUUGGUUCGAAAAUCAACUUGAGACUACGCACGUAGAAAGCUCAUUAGUUCCGCGUUUGGACGAGGGUUCGAAUCCCUCCAGCUCCACUA